GAUUGUCAAACGCAAGUCAACCAUGGACAUCCGGUACAGCCCAUACCAAAAAAAGGCUGGGACAAUGGCAAAUGACCAUCAGCUGAACAUCAGGGCUCACAGAAGAGAUCAAACUGACAGCAGAAACCGCAGCUUUCAAAAGCCAGCCACUAUGGGUCACCAAAGCAGGGACUACUACUAUGGACACUCUGAUGCCAAGACGCUCCCCCUGCCUCCAGGGCCCCCAUCUGCCCACCAAAAGAUGAACUUAAAGAGGAGUGAUGGGAAAAAAUACCCGCAUGACGUUACGAUGUCUCCUGCUCCUGCCUACACUGGGAAAAUCAAAAGCAAGAUGUUUCAAAACCUAAAAGCUAUGAGAGGAGGAUGUUCUCCAAUGGAGGUUGACCCACCUCAGAAGCGUCCCAAUCGGAUGUCUCAAGAUGUUAUGAUGUCUCCUGCUCCUGCCUAC